UACGUAGGUGGCAAGCGUUGUCCGGAUUUACUGGGCGUAAAGCGCGCGCAGGCGGACUGAUCAGUCUGGGGUGAAAUCUCCCGGCUCAACUGGGAGCGGUCCCUGGAUACUGUCAGUCUUGAGAGACCUAGAGGAGAGCGGAAUUCCCGGUGUAGUGGUGGAAUGCGUAGAUAUCGGGAGGAACACCAAUAGCGAAGGCAGCUCGCUGGGACGGUACUGACGCUAAGGCGCGAAAGCGUGGGGAGCGAACAGG
rnacentral:rRNA from 1 species